rnacentral:rRNA from 1 species
GACGAACGCUGGCGGCGUGCUUAACACAUGCAAGUCGAACGGUGAAGUGCCUUCCUUUUUGGUGGGUGUGGAUGAGUGGCGAACGGGUGAGUAACACGUGAGUAACCUGCCCCCUUCUUCUGGAUAACCGCAUGAAAGUGUGGCUAAUACGGGAUAUUCUGGGUCUGUCGCAUGAUGGGUCUGGGAAAGAUAUUGUUUCGGUGGGGGACGGGCUCGCGGCCUAUCAGCUUGUUGGUGGGGUGAUGGCCUACCAAGGCGGUGACGGGUAGCCGGCCUGAGAGGGGGGACGGUCACACUGGGACUGAGACACGGCCCAGACUCCUACGGGAGGCAGCAGUGGGGAAUAUUGCACAAUGGGCGCAAGCCUGAUGCAGCGACGCCGCGUGAGGGGUGGAGGCCUUCGGGUUGUGAACCUCUUUCGCCAGUGAAGCAGGCCUGCCUCGUUUGUGGGUGGGUUGACGGUAGCUGGAUAAGAAGCGCCGGCUAACUACGUG